AUGAAAUUUUAAUUUUCCUCAACACAGCUGUUUUCUCAGACCAGAUCCGAAUGCUGUGUCCAAGCCGUGUCAGCAGGCAGAAGAGGCCUGUGGUAAUUACCCGUACUGUGUGUUCUGUAAGACCAAAGGGCCAGGUUCUUCAGUGUUCUUUUUGCAGCAUUAUUUACCUUUGUAACCACCUAGAACAAAAUUUGAAUUGUACCCCAUAUUAGCUGUUCUCUGGAGGAUCAUUACUGAGCUGCAUGUCUUAACAGUCCUAAUCUGGUGCCAAAAGCCUGGGGGAACUACUGGAAAGUCACUGGUCUUCAGUCCAUGUUGGAAGUCUGAAGAAUCUCUGAUCUGGUGGCAGUGAAAGACAGCACCAAGUUGUAGCUAUGAUGGUAGCGCAAUAAGGUGGAUGAGAUAGCCAGAGGGGAUGCCAAGGCAAACAGGCAAAAAGCAAGAGUUUGACCUUGGACCUUCUUAUAUCUGGGCUGUUCCAGGAAUGAACCGCAUAGGUUCAGGGUGGGUUUUCCCUCAUCCCCGAGGAUAAUUGAACUGAGAUCACAGGUAUGCCCAGAGACUCAUAUCCUUCAUGAUUAUAGAUCCUGUUUGGUUUUUCUUCUUGCUGGGCGGAAUGGAAUAGGUUCCUUAUUCUUCCACUCCAUGGGCCACCCUCCAAAUGCUGAGGAACAGCUAUCAGGAGAACACAGACCCAGCAAAUCCCUGUUAAACCAGUUUGGCUGUGUGUAUGUGUGUGCUCAAUUUGCAGGCUUAAUUAAAAACUUGGAGAGAAGUCUCUGCCAGGCUACCACACACUUUGUAUCUGCCUUCCAGCUGCCUGGGGUCUGCUGUGCAGAUGGGCAGACCUGGGAAUACAGAGAAGGGGACUCUGGGAAGCCCUUUCUGCCAGUUUCAUUUGCAUCGCCACCCGCUUUAAUUAAAGCGAGUCCUCAGCGUGCACCAAGGGAUGCUUGCCUGCACUGCCACACCAAGCAGGCUCCCCAAGGGGGGCCAACAGAGAUCCACUGAGCUGACUGUGAGGCGGGCAAUGCCAGCAAGUGAGCAUCCAGAGGCCUUGGGGACACAGGGAAUGAAACUGUGCAGGCUGCCAGCUAGAGAAUACAGUCCUGAGGUGUGGAGGCUUAGGCUUGCCUCCCAAAACCAUCUCUGCCAUUCAACAGCCAGGACACCUCAGGCAAGGAAAGCCCCGCCUCUCUGCCCCCAGCUAGUCUUCCUCUCCUACAGAGCUUUGGUAACAGAUCCCAGAACUUCUGAUGGCUUACUGAGGGGGAUAAAUAUCAGGUAUUUAGGAAAGUGCCAGUAUUAUUCCAGGAGUGCUUGAUAAAUAUCGUUAUUACUUAAAAGAAAGCUAUACACAUAAAUGUUUAAAAUAGAUGGUAUUAAUCCUAUUUCAUUUUUUAUUGCUUUCCCCCCUCAAAACCAUGUCUCCCAGGCUGAACUUGAACUCAAAGCACUUGUCUUGCUUAGCUUCCUGAAUGCUGGGAUUACAGGCAUGCACCAUCAGUUCGGG
rnacentral:lncRNA from 1 species